rnacentral:rRNA from 1 species
GACGAACGCUGGCGGCGUGCCUAAUACAUGCAAGUCGAGCGGACCACUUCGGUGGUCAGCGGCGGACGGGUGAGUAACACGUGGGCAACCUGCCUGUAAGACUGGGAUAACACCGGGAAACCGGUGCUAAUACCGGAUAAUCCUUUCCUUCACAUGAAGGAAAGCUGAAAGACGGUUUCGCCUGUCACUUACAGAUGGGCCCGCGGCGCAUUAGCUAGUUGGUGAGGUAACGGCUCCACAAGGCAACGAUGCGUAGCCGACCUGAGAGGGUGAUCGGCCACACUGGGACUGAGACACGGCCCAGACUCCUACGGGAGGCAGCAGGAGGGAAUCUUCCGAAAUGGACGAAAGUCUGACGGAGCAACGCCGCGUGAGCGAUGAAGGCCUUCGGGUCGUAAAGCUCUGUUGUCAGGGAAGAACAAGUACCGGAGUAACUGCCGGUACCUUGACGGUACCUGACCAGAAAGCCACGGCUAACUACGUGCCAGCCGCCGCCGUAA